rnacentral:rRNA from 1 species
AGCGAACGCUGGCGGCGUGCCUAACACAUGCAAGUCGAACGUGAAAGGGAGCAAUCCCAAGUAAAGUGGCGUACGGGUGAGUAACACGUAGGUAAUCUACCCCAGAAUCUGGAAUAACCGGCCGAAAGGCUGGCUAAUACUGGAUAGAGCGACGGAAUCCGUAAUUGGGUUUUUCGGGAAAGGGAGCCUGUAAAAAGGCCUUCGUUCUGGGAUGAGCCUGCGUCCCAUCAGCUAGUUGGUGAGGUAAAAGCUUACCAAGGCAAUGACGGGUAGCUGGUCUGAGAGGACGAUCAGCCACACUGGAACUGAAACACGGUCCAGGCUCCUACGGGAGGCAGCAGUGGGGAAUCUUGCGCAAUGGACGAAAGUCUGACGCAGCAACGCCGCGUGAGUGAAGAAGGCCUUCGGGUUGUAAAGCUCUGUCGAGUGGGACGAAAAUGCUUGGAGUUCACAGCUCCAGGAACUGACGGUACCACUAAAGGAAGCACCGGCUAACUCCGUG